AGUACUAGUAGCUUAGACACAAAGCAUCGGUCUUGUAAUCCGAAGACCGGAGGUUAAACCCCUCCCUAGUGCCAC
rnacentral:tRNA from 1 species